rnacentral:rRNA from 1 species
UCGGGAAUUUUGGGCAAUGGGGGAAACCCUGACCCAGCAACGCCGCGUGAAGGAUGAAGUAUUUCGGUAUGUAAACUUCGAAAGAAUAGGAAGAAUAAAUGACGGUACUAUUUAUAAGGUCCGGCUAACUACGUGCCAGCAGCCGCGGUAAUACGUAGGGACCAAGCGUUGUUCGGAUUUACUGGGCGUAAAGGGCGCGUAGGCGGCAUGACAAGUCACUUGUGAAAUCUCUGGGCUUAACCCAGAACGGCCAAGUGAAACUGUCAUGCUAGAGUGCAGAAGGGGCAAUCGGAAUUCUUGGUGUAGCGGUGAAAUGCGUAGAUAUCAAGAGGAACACCUGAGGUGAAGACGGGUUGCUGGGCUGACACUGACGCUGAGGCGCGAAAGCCAGGGGAGCAAACGGGAUUAGAUACCCGCGUAGUCCCUGAGCGGGCUGGCAAGGCGCAU